rnacentral:tRNA from 24 species
GGAGGGGUUCCCGAGCGGCCAAAGGGAUCAGACUGUAAAUCUGCCGGUUCUACCUUCGGAGGUUCGAAUCCUCCCCCCUCCACCA